GACGUAGGGGGCCAGCGUUGUUCGGAAUUACUGGGUGUAAAGGGUUCGUAGGCGGUGCGGCAAGUCGGGAGUGAAAUCUCUGGGCUUAACCCAGAGGCUGCUUCCGAAACUGCUGUGCUUGAGUGUGGGAGAGGCGCGUGGAAUUGCAGGUGUAGCGGUGAAAUGCGUAGAUAUCUGCAGGAACGCCCGUGGCGAAAGCGGCGCGCUGGACCACUACUGACGCUGAGUGAACGAAAGCUAGGGGAGCAAACAGG
rnacentral:rRNA from 1 species